GGGGUUUCAGGCACAUGCAAUGCUCGUGAGUGAUCAGGAGUAGAGCCAGGAUCUACCCCUUCCUGGACUUCAUUUAAGGGUUGGCAGUGGAGGUGUUUCUUGCUGUCAAUCCCUGCCUACUUGUGGUCUCACAAAGAAUGUACACCAGGAUUAUGCAUUCCAUCUGAUUACAAAUACAGGAACCAUGUUGUCUGUGCUCAGGACAGUAUGUGUGUGCCAUUCACUACUCGGGACCCACAGCUGUUCUCAUGUCAUCUCAGAAGUCUCUGCUGCUUCAAAACAAUGACCUGGCCAUGAGAGCACUCUUACAAACGUACCGAUAUAUCAGAGAUAACCAGGUUGGGAAUGACCUCUCUUCACUAUUAUCUAAAAUGUACUAAAUUCACAUGAAAUGACCCGAAUCUGAAAGCAGUUCAGAAACAAAUAACAUGACAAAGGAUGUAAAUAAUGAUGUAAAUGACAAGUUAUUUAUGCUGCGGAGGCCUCUGAAGCAAGAUGAGGUGGAUGCUGAGAGAUUACAAGGACCCAAGAGAACCUGGACAAGUUUGAACUAAAACGUUCCCCUGAAUUGCAGAACUCUGGAGAAAAGGAAAUCAGGGACAGAUUCAACAUUUAGAAGAGAUGCUGUCAUAACAGAAGCUAAGCCAUUUUGUCCUUGAUUUGAGGUGGGGAAAAAAGAAAGCCAACAAAUUAGAAAGCA